GGAGGUAGUGACAAUAAAUCUCAAUACGAAGCCUUUGGUUUUGUAAUUGAAUUGAGAACAAUGUACAAUCGUUAUCGAUAAACAAUUGGAGGGCAAGUCUGGUGCCAGCAGCCGCGGUAAUUCCAGCUCCAAUAGCGUAUAUUAACGUUGUUGCAGUUAAAAAGCUCGUAGUUGAAGUUUAGAUGGUUUGAAGGGGGUGUUAGUAUCAAUGGUACUAUCUGCUCUCUUUGGAUUAUCGACUUCCAGGUAAGUAUAAUGUACCUUUCGGGGUUCGUUAUACCAGACUGGUCUUUUACUGUGAGAAAAUUAGAGUGUUUAAAGCAAACUUCAUAUGUUUGAAUAGAUUAGCAUGGAAUAAUAAGAUUGGCUUUCAUAGUCGAUUUUUUGGUUUGUUUAUGAAAGCAAGAUUAAUAGGGACAGUUGGGGGUAUUCAUAUUCAAUAGCUAGAGGUGAAAUUCUAUGAUUUAUGGAAGAUGAACAAGUGCGAAAGCA
rnacentral:rRNA from 1 species